rnacentral:rRNA from 1 species
AUUGAACGCUGGCGGCAGGCUUAACACAUGCAAGUCGAGCGGAGAGAGGUAGCUUGCUACCGAUCUUAGCGGCGGACGGGUGAGUAAUGCUUAGGAAUCUGCCUAUUAGUGGGGGACAACAUUUCGAAAGGAAUGCUAAUACCGCAUACGUCCUACGGGAGAAAGCAGGGGAUCUUCGGACCUUGCGCUAAUAGAUGAGCCUAAGGCGGAUUAGCUAGUUGGUGGGGUAAAGGCCUACCAAGGCGACGAUCUGUGGCGGGUCUGAGAGGAUGAUCCGCCACACUGGGACUGAGACACGGCCCAGACUCCUACGGGAGGCAGCAGUGGGGAAUAUUGGACAAUGGGCGCAAGCCUGAUCCAGCCAUGCCGCGUGUGUGAAGAAGGCCUUAUGGUUGUAAAGCACUUUAAGCGAGGAGGAGGCUACUUUAGUUAAUACCUAGAGAUAGUGGACGUUACUCGCAGAAUAAGCACCGGCUAACUCUGUGCCAGCAGCCGCAGUAACAC